rnacentral:rRNA from 1 species
CAACCUUGCCGUCUACUCUUGGCCAGCCUUCUGAAAGGAAGAUUAAUCCAGGAUGGCAUCAUGAGUUCACAUGUCCGCAUGAUUAAAGGUAUUUUCCGGUAGACGAUGGGGAUGCGUUCCAUUAGAUAGUAGGCGGGGUAACGGCCCACCUAGUCAACGAUGGAUAGGGGUUCUGAGAGGAAGGUCCCCCACAUUGGAACUGAGACACGGUCCAA